rnacentral:rRNA from 1 species
AAACCAAAGCUGGCGACCGGCGCACGGGUGAGUAACACGUAUCCAACCUGCCUCAUACUCGGGGAUAGCCUUUCGAAAGAAAGAUUAAUAUCCGAUAGCAUAUAUUUCCCGCAUGGGUUUUAUAUUAAAGAAAUUCGGUAUGAGAUGGGGAUGCGUUCCAUUAGUUUGUUGGGGGGGGUAACGGGCCCACCAAGACUACGAUGGAUAGGGGUUCUGAGAGGAAGGUCCCCCACAUUGGAACUGAGACACGGUCCAAACUCCUACGGGAGGCAGCAUG